rnacentral:lncRNA from 1 species
AUAUUUACUACUCUUUAUUUCUACUUUUUAUUUUCCUUUACUCUCUUCGUAAGAUUUUAGUAUUAUGUCUUUAUUUUAUAAUAAAAGUUGAUUUUUAAAAUAUGGUAUAUUUUUUCUAGUAUAGUUUCUAGAAUAGUUAUGUAACAAUUCUUUUGGUCGUUUUGAAUAUUAGAAUUUUUUAUUUCAUAAAUAUUUUUUCGAUAGAUUUUAAAUGAUUGUUUUGGACUAUUCAUAAUUAUAAUUAUGAAAUUAGUGGGAUAGUUUUAAUAAUUGAGUUAGUUGGGGGUUAAAGGAGAUAACUUUAAAAUUAAUAGUGGAUCGCUUUUAUAAUAGUAUACAAUUAGGGUGACAACUAAUCUGUAGAAAAGAAGAAAUAUAGACGCAUAAAAACCAAGUGAGAGGAAGGUUUACCUGUGCGGCUACACCAAAGAUCAAUUUGGAGUUCUUUUAGUGAGUUGAGGAACGUGCUGAUCGGGCAGUUGACAAUUUGUUAUAUGAAAAUGGUACGUAUCAAUUUGUUGUGGGUUUGUUCGGGUCAAGGCAGUAACAUAAUUGGGGGAUAAUUCUGGCAUCUUGAUGGGCCAGGUGCCAGGUAAAGGUGAUAGAAAAGUUGGGUUUCUGUAUGUUGGACCUUGGCUUGCAUAUAUUGCAGUGAAGUACUUUUAAAUCUUCACAAUAUACAUUAUAAUCAUAAUUUCUUCCCUUUGUUAUGUUGUUGGGUCAUCUUAGUAAAUUCUUCUUUAAUUUUUAUGUUCAUAACCUUAUAUAUUAAUUAGAGGAGCUUAUUAAAUAUUUAUAUUAGGUGAAAUAUUCUAAAAAUGUCUCCUGGGUUUCUGUAUUCCUGUUAGUUUCUUUGGUUAAACAAUUGUGGUCUCAUGUGUUAGCUGCCACAGGUAUCGUGACUAGUGAUUUCAGGUUUACCAUUGUUUAAACUAAAACUCAAUUUAUUGAGAUAGGUAAUUCAAUAUAAGGUAUAGUAUAUUAUAUAAGUUACAUUAAAGUGAUGUUAAUGGGAGGAAUUAAGAUCUACCCUUAGGUUUGAAUUUUGAGAAAUUGAUUAUAUAAUUAGGUGAGUUUUUGGGUCUAGGCUAAACAUAGACUAACCUAAGUGUUUAUAGACUCGUUAACUUACAAAUUGUGUAGAUUGGAAAGAUUCGGAGGCAAUAAGGAAAGGAAAGACAUUGGAGAAGUAGUUACUUGACUUCAAUUCUUCGGUGGAGGUAGGUUAUGGUUUAUUUCUAUUUGAUAGAUAAACUCUCAAUAGCGAUUGAUAUGUAUUAAGUGAUAUUGUAAAGUCUCCUAUGUACUUUAUGGUGUGGUUGUAUGUCUUGAUUGUAUGGUUUCUGGUUGGCUAAAAUUACGAGACUGCUGAAUUUCUAAUCUUGAACCAUUUCUAUUAAAAUGACGCCUUGAAUAAAGAAGAUUUGAUGAAAUAAAAUAAUGAGAUAAUUGGAUCGCAGUGUCACGUUCCGACAUGAUAUUAUUGGAUCGGAGUGUCACGUUCCGAAACAAUAACAUUAAAGGAAAUAAAUCUUGAACUAACUUAAUAUAUCUAAUCUCAAAGAACCUAUUUUCCAAAUGAGUAUGGUGUGGAGCCAUGAGUCCUCAUAGGUGUGCUUGAUGGUGUACAUGUUAUGUUGUUGUUGUUAAUGGUUCAUGUGUUUUGUUGCUUGCCACCUGUUAAGUAUUGUAGUUGAUUUUAUAUUAUUAUUCAAUAUAUAUUGAUUAUUAUUUUGAGUUGACCGAUGAUACCUACUCAGUACGUGUUCCUUGUACUGACCCCUACUUGUAUUUUCUUCUCUGUUUUUUUGUGGAGUGCAACAAGUGUACCAUUGACUACGACUCGCCCUCAUCUCUAACCAGUCUCCAGCACAUCAGAGUUCAGGAUCUAUGAUGAUGGGAGUUAUAUAGCUGAAAAUUUAAUAGGAGUUUCAAGUUUGAUGUGAUUGAGAUUGACUUCAACUCUAUACCUUGAUUUUUCGGUAUCAAUGCGGCGUUGCUCAGGCGUUAAACCGUUGCUUGAAGCUCCGAGGAAGAAAGGAUUAUAGUUUGCAAAAUUGUUCUAUAACUUUUUUUUUCUUUUGAUUUUGUUAGUUUUAAUUUUUCAUUUGAUUUGAGUGUUUUAGUUUGACUUUUUUUUUUUGAAAAAAUCAAAACAAAUAAAGAAAAAAAAUGAAAAGAAUAUUAAAAAUAUUUUUUUUAAUGUUAAUCAUUGGUCUUCACUCUCUCAAAGCGAGUGAAAUACACUCACUUUGCCACACAAUCAUUUAAGGAGGUAAUAAUUUUAAUUUUAGUUUUAAAUAGUUAGGGAGGUAAUAGGAUCCCCGUAGAGUAUAAGUGUGUAGCUGAAAAUUCGGUAAUAGGUUGGGAGGUCAUUUGACCAUUUUCUCUAUAAAGUUUAAUCUACUCUCUAGACCUCUCCAGUAGAAGCUGUUGAUCCUCUUGUUGGUAC